GACGAACGCUGGCGGCGUGCCUAACACAUGCAAGUCGAGCGAGCAGAUUUCCUUCGGGAAUGAAGCUAGCGGCGGACGGGUGAGUAACACGUGGGCAACCUGCCUCAUAGAGGGGGAAUAGCCUCCCCGAAAGGGAGAUUAAUACCGCAUGAGAUUGUAGCUUCGCAUGAAGUAGCAAUUAAAGGAGUAAUCCGCUAUGAGAUGGGCCCGCGGCGCAUUAGCUAGUUGGUGAGGUAACGGCUCACCAAGGCGACGAUGCGUAGCCGACCUGAGAGGGUGAUCGGCCACAUUGGGACUGAGACACGGCCCAGACUCCUACGGGAGGCAGCAGUGGGGAAUAUUGCACAAUGGGGGAAACCCUGAUGCAGCAACGCCGCGUGAGGAUGAAGGUUUUCGGA
rnacentral:rRNA from 1 species